GACUCUUCGAGCCUGUAGUAGAAAUCCCAUGAAAUCCCGACUGCUCCUCACGGUCACUGCAACAGAACACAUCCAUUCAGGGUGGGCAUGUCCUCCUUAUGGGUCCAGUACUGGCUCGUCCUGGUAUGUCCUCUAGUGUCCAAGCAGUGGAGCCAUCGCCGAGCAAGCCGAGAAUGUGUCAGGUGGUCUCCUUGAGGCAGGAUGAACCUCCAGCAGAUGUCGGAACGGAAGAAAGAUGGAAGGAAGAAGAAAAUGCAUUGGCUUUGGGGAAGUUUCAUUCAUUAAAGGAAAAUGAAUGAUGAUUAAAAAAAAAGCAAGCCUAUUAAAAGUUUGCAAUGAUUUUUAAU